UACGUAGGGUGCAAGCGUUUGUCCGGAAUUAUUGGGCGUAAAGGGCUCGUAGGCGGUUUGUCGCGUCGGGAGUGAAAACUCAGGGCUUAACCCUGAGCCUGCUUCCGAUACGGGCAGACUAGAGGUAUGCAGGGGAGAACGGAAUUCCUGGUGUAGCGGUGAAAUGCGCAGAUAUCAGGAGGAACACCGGUGGCGAAGGCGGUUUCUGGGCAUGUCCUGACGCUGAGGAGCGAAAGCUAGGGGAGCAAACGGGG
rnacentral:rRNA from 1 species